rnacentral:lncRNA from 1 species
CUUUGACUGCGUCCUCUGCGCUGCCCAUGGUGCGGCAGGUGGCGGGCAGGCGGCACCAAGCGGCCCCCGAAGCCCCCGUGCGCCCUCACCGCCUCCGCACCUCCCGACUCAGCGCCCCACACGCGAGGCGGAGCCCCCGCCCGCUGCACUCCCCGCCUGCAGCCGCCGCAGCCACUGCCCGGUGCUCAGCUCCGCAGCCAUCUUCCGAGCCCCGCAGACGUCAGGCAGCAGGCCCGGCCCCUUCCCACAGCCGGCAGGGAGGGGGUGUGUGCGCUGCGACUGGGGGGGGGGGUCAGGGCGGGUGCGGACGCCUGGGGGCGUCGGGCCCGGGCGCGCGCCGCAGGGAUGGUUGUCAUGGCGACCGGCCCGCUCCCGCCCCGAGGGCGCGAACCCGCAUUGUGAGCGCUGGGAGUCAGCCUCUCGCCACUGCACAAGCGGGCAGACUUUGAAGAGGUACUUACUUCUGGCCUAACCUAAACCACAGUAACCGCUCCCUACUCCUGGCCCCUCGGAGAGGCGUUAAGGAGCCAAGGUCUCGGCUCUGGGUCACUGUGGUUCGAACAUGAUCCUGUCACUCCUCCGGAUCCUGUGGCCUGCCAGCAGUUCUUAGUCGCAACGCUUGCAGGAGAAAAGCAAGAACCCGACCACGAGCUACGAAGAGCAGGUGCCCGAGCACAAGAGGAAGCCUUCGCUCUCCUUCGGGUCUCCACGUCCGGUUUUUGUUCAUCUUGCAGAAUUGUUGGGAGAGAGGGGCACGAGUCGGAGUAAGAGACAGAACGGAGCCGGUGACACGAGUCCCUUCUAAGUGACUCGCGUUGGGAAUUAGAGUCAUAGAGGAAAGAAAAGG